GAUCUUAGCCAACAUAAUGUUUUCCCAUGCUAGUGCGCAUGGCGGUAAAACAUUGUGCUGUAUCAACCAUAUGGUGUCUGUGAGACCAUCUUAUUGAAAUAGCAGAGUUUCUGUCAGCUAUUUGAGUGGAGGCAUUUUAAUCCUGCAAUGUAACAUUGACAUUCUACUGAAAACAAAAUAUUUACAUUGCAGGGUUUAAACUUGAGACAUAGAACACAGACCAUGUCAUUGAGAUGAAGUGGUCUGGUUGCCUAUAAUGUCCCUUUAAAUCACGGUUUAUCCUGCCACAUCUCCUAUACCUGUGACGUACACAGUUUCCUUACACACGUCGUGUAAAGAGAAAGCUAAUGUUUAAACUUCCUUUAUUGCACAUUCUGUUUAUUGUUGAAGUUCUUAAUUCCUGCUCUGUUAAUAUCUUUCUAGAGUCUGCAGGAACCUCAGAUUUGAGAUUUGACAUUUGAUUGAAAAUAAAACCAUGCAGCUGUGUCACAGCCAGGGAAGUUGUGAAUAGGGUACAUAAACUAAAACUAUUUACUUCCUAAAUCUAUACACCAAAACUGCUUUAUUAAGCUAAACUUGUUUUGGUGACUGUAGUGUCCCUUUAACUGCUUAAUAGAGUCCUCAUGUCGGCAUAAAAUGUGCUUACAGUGCAGUGAGCAUGGCAUCUCCUUUUGUGGCCAAUUAUGAAAUAUUACAAAGCCGUAAUCUUAUUGUUUAUAAAAGACUGUGUAUUUCACAAGAGCUAGGAUUUAAUGACUGGACCGCAGCCUGUGUUAAGGGAAGAAUUUGAACAAUCAAACGUCAUGCCGAAUAUUCCUUAAAUCUUGUUUCUCUGUGUUGCGUGUAAAUUGCUCCCUUGCUCCAGAACAGAAGAGUUGUUAUCAGCAGAACGGCUGAUCCCUAGAACCAGAGGUUUUUAGUAACUGAACGUGAAACCCCAUUUUAUGCUGUUGUACUGCUGACAGUGGGUUAUUUACAUGUGUAUUUUGGACCUGACACAGACCAGCUAAUACAGAAUGAGAGUGCCCUCUGGUGUAUGUGGACUAUACUGCAGAACUGCCCAUCACUAUUCUAUGUGCUUUCAUCUUUUAACACCGAAUAUUAUCAGUUUUAUAUCUUUCAUUGCAAUGGUCUUUCUCUACACUAGCCCUCUUUACAAUAUCCACAGAGUGGAAAAUAGAUUAAUACCGAGUGGGGGGCUAUUUCUAAUGCCUUUACCAAUAGGGAUGAAUGUACCUACACCCCUACUUUUUAAUUAUUUAAUGUUUUGGAUAGAAUGGCGUUGGGCGAAAGGAUGCUCAACGUGCCCAUUAAAGGGAGGUUUGCUUGGAUUCAUUAACCCCUUAAGGACCAAGCUUCUGGAAUAAAAGGGAAUCAUGACAUGUCACACAUCAUGUGUCCUUAAGGGGUUAAAGGAACACUAUAGUCACCUAAAUUACUUUAGCUAAAUAAAGCAGUUUUAGUGUAUAGAUCAUUCCCCUGCAAUUUCACUGCUCAAUUCAAUGUCAUUUAGGAGUUAAAUCACUUUGUUUCUGUUUAUGCAGCCCUAGCCACACCUCCCCUGGCUAUGAUUGACAGAGCCUGCAUGAAAAAAAAACUGGUUUCACUUUCAAACAGAUGUAAUUUACCUUAAAUAAUUGUAUCUCAAUCUCUAAAUUGAACUUUAAUCACAUACAGGAGGCUCUUGCAGGGUCUAGCAAGCUAUUAACAUAGCAGGGGAUAAGAAAAUCUUAAUUAAACAGAACUUGCCAUAAAGAAAGCCUAAAUAGGGCUCUCUUUACAGGAAGUGUUUAUGGAAGGCUGUGCAAGUCACAUGCAGGGAGGUGUGACUAGGAUUCAUAAACAAA